CCAGAUGCAAUCCCAGCGGACCUCUGUUGGGGAACACAGGAAGAAUUUUCCCCUCAUGUCUGCAGGGAGCAUUUUCCAGCCAGAAUGCAUAAACCAUUGAGAAUAUCUCCCAUGGAGUCUGCUGAGAGGAGAAUUUUAAAGAUUCCUCUUACCUCCUCACUGCAAGAUCCUGUUUGUCCCCCAGGAGUGGGUUAAUAUGUUCGCCAUGCACUGUUCUCAGCAGAAGUCGGUGAAGUGGCAAUUGCAAAGGUCUUAUAGAUAAGUGUAUCUGGUGCUGAUGCGUUCAUUUUACCAUCCUAACCAGUGAGAAGUAGCAGAUCAGACAUAUUUUGGUUAUGAACAAUGCCAGCAGUUUCUGGUUAAUGAAAAGAAAUUGCUAAGGAAGACAGCUUAUUAGUGCCAAGAACUGUGAUUUCUGUAAGCUGGCUUGUUUUGAGACCAAUUUGGGUAUAAUUUUAAACCCAAGCACAAUUUUGUAUGAUGUUUUAGAAAAGUGUGGAAUUUUUUAUUUU
rnacentral:lncRNA from 1 species